CAGUUUGCCCUAUAGGGGUACUUUGUUAGGGUCAUUCUAGUCAAGAGGGACUUCCCAUUCUUAUCCUUUUUAUCUAAUGCAUUCUGUGGCCCCAAUCUGUCCCGGUGUUCCAUCCAACUGAGCCCCAAUAAUCACAAUUGUUACCCCUCUUUGAGCAAUAUAUAUUGCUCAUAUCAUCGGUUAACAUUCUCCCAAGACAGAGAAAUUUCCACAUUAUGGCAUUCCCAAGCAAUCAUGUGGUCUACAAGAAACAGAAACUCAGCAGAAAAAAAACAAAACAAAAACACUUAAUACUUUUGCAGACAGAUAUAUAGAAAAUGGAUGUUUAAGACAGAAUGGAACUUGGGCUUAUAGCAACUAUAUUAUUGCACAACCAGGACCUUGCGUCCUAUAUCUUUUAACCAUUUCCCUAUUCCAAAAGUCCAGUCAAAACCAGUCAUAUCCUCACGCAAUUCCCCAAAACAUGGGAAUCCAUCCUUGGCACACUCAACAUAUAUAAAAACACACAUUGUACAUCCAUCCCUGGGUCAGCUAACACUUCCUCUCUCUCUGGCUAACUCUACAAAAAUAAAAAUAGUUCAAUAGUUCAG